AUAAACAAUUUUUGUAGCGUAAGAGUAAAAUAAAUUCAUAUAUGUAAUAGCACACUAAACCAGGUAUACAAAAAUAUUCUACAAUGACAUGUGGGCCUUAAUAUAAUAGAAAAUAUACAAGAUUGUAGACCUUCGAUUUCUAAGGAUGCAAAUCCAAAAGUAAUCCUCGACAAAAUCGACUGUCUACAGACUGUCCUGAGCCUGAAAUGGGUAAAAAGAAAGGGAGAAUUUUAUAAACCCAGUGAGUAAGCAAAGUUCAUCUAUAAUAUCUAAAGUCGAGUAAAUGGAGACAGUUAAAUCAUCCCAUCAUAAUAUAAUUCAUAACAUUCCAAAACUCAUUUCAAUUCAUAUAAAACAAUUACAUUUCAUCAAAAUAAUCAACAAGGUUUAUGAUUCUCUUAAAAACUUGGCUUGUGCCAAAACUUGUACUUGGUGACACCUUGGCCCGGGCAUCCAACUGAGUCUGCCAAGGAUGUUAAAACAACAUAUACUCAUAAAACAUGUUUUCUUUUUUACUUUUAAAACAUAGCCAUUCCUUAGCGUUGGCUGAGCUUCAUCCUCACGUGGUGGUUCGGCGUGAAGUGAACUCUAAACUUACCUUAGGAGAUACCCUCCGCUCCUCUCGUACUAAGGUAAAAUAUAACGGGGUUUACCGUGCCCCUCUAAUAGGCUGGUCCAUGGAAACCCGCCCACUGCAGUAAGUUGAUCAAAUAACCCACUAAAUCAAUAAAAAUUUCGACAGCAUGAUAUGACUAAUAUGAUAUUACCCAGCCUAUCAAGGUAAAACAAAAUAGUUCAUAUAAUCCACAAACCAUAAAUCCAGCCAUUCAUGCCAUCACAUUGUCAUAAGCCAUCAAUUCAAACCAUAUAUAUAUAGAUAACACAAGUAUAUAGUCUCCACUUACUCAAUUUCCAAAAUCAUUAUUGAAUUGCAAAACAAUUUAUAAAUCUCAUUCAUUUAACCAUCACUUAUAAAACAUAAAAAUCUACGAUUUAAGUUCAUUAUUCUUUAAAAUCAUAGAAACGAAUAUAAACUACUUUAGAUAGUUAAGGUGAACAUUUGAUUACUCACAAUAGCGAGAGUUUGGAGUACUCCUAUUCUUGAUCCUCGGGUAUGAUAUCUUUACCCUUAUCAAAAGG
rnacentral:lncRNA from 1 species